rnacentral:lncRNA from 1 species
AUGCCAGAGAAAGAAGAGCCUGGAAAAAUUCCAUGCCUGGCAAAGAGACAGCGAGGUGGAGAGGGGAAGAGCUGGAGGAGAGAGGAGAGAGAUGUUCCAGCAGCCAAUGAGACCCGUGAUCCAGGCAGCUCCCGAGGUGGGAGCACCCCUGGCAGCAGGGGAAUCUCCUACCGGCGGCUCCGCAGCACCGGCAUCGGCAGCUGGGCUCUCCAGAGGGCUCCCAGCCGGACUGGGGGGCUCCAGGACAUUCCCAGUCCCCACUGGCACAUCCUGCAGGAAACCAGGACACGUGCAAGGCUCAGGGUGAGCACACUCCCGGUGUGGGAUAGAGGGGACAGGUCAAACCCCACAACCUGCGGCUGUUCCGGCGUCUCCGCAGCACCUUGGAGGGGAGCAGGGGGCUGGGCAGGAUCCGGGGGCUGCGGCUCCUUCUUGGCCGCUGGCUGGCUCGUGUUGGAGACGGCAGGAGAGGGCUUGGAGUGCUGCUUGUGCCCUGCAGGGUGGGAAACAGCGGGAGAGACUCCUCACCCUGCCCCGGGAGAGGCUGGAGAGCACCGAGGAUCCGGCUCGGGGUCAGCACAGACCUCGGGGGGCUGGGGGACACCACGCCCGGGGGACCACGGUCAGCUGCCGGUGGUGGCUCCUGCGGAGGCGGCGUCUCCCAGCCGGGUGAUGGCUCCAGGGCGGGCGGUGUUCCGGGAAAGCUCCUGGAUUCCUGCAGGAGCACAGCCCCAGGGUGGGGGUUUAGGUUGGGAGGGGUCUCUGUGCAAUCCCAGCCUAGGCAGGAGCAGCUUCCAGCGGUCCUGGUGUCCCUCAUUGUCACCCCAGAGCCACCCGGGCCCCCCGAGCACGGCACCCACCGUGGAGGGCCGGCGGGGGGCCAGGGUGGGGGCUGCUCCUCCUCGGGGAAUCCGGGCCAGGAAUCAGGGAACACAUCCUGCAGGGAACGGGGCAGGGGAUGCUGUGACUGCAGAGGGUCCCCACACUGUCCCUGUCACCUGGGCAGCGAGGUGA